GUUUUAAUUGUUAGAUUUGUGUUCGAAGGAAUUUCAGUUGGGUUUUUAAUAGUGGGAUUUUGAACUUUUAACUCAAUGAUUUUAUCUCUUUCGUUAAUACAUAUCCUGGAAAGUCAGUGUGUCGUCUUCAAUUCUUACCCGGUGAUUGUUCGACGUAAGUCACCAGAGAAAUCGGAAAUGCAGUGUUUCUCUGCUCGACCGCUCCCGCCAUAUUCAGUACAUCUACGGUGAAAACUUCGAGCCCGCAUUGGUUUUUGGAGGAAUUAGUUCAUCGGCCCCGGCGGCACGCAGUCUUGGUACGUGCUAUAAACAUCUCCGUCGGAAAAAAAGUGAAUCUGCACUGCCAAUUGGGAAGGUGACUUAUUUAUCAUCUCCGGAGUCACACGCUUCAAGAUUAUUUAUGUUCGACCCUCCCCUGAAUUUGGUCUUUUUUCUCUCCCAUUUGUCCUCUCAAUGGUAUGUUAUUCACUUCCUAAAAAUUGUAAUGCGCAAGCACAUGACUUCUGUUUUGAUUUUGUAUGUUAUGUGCAUCAUCACUCAGGCUGUAGGAGCAAUUUUGAGUUCGGCCCUAAUUGCUAUUUUUGUUGAAGAAAAUAUUUAAAUGAAUAUGUGAGUUAACUUUACACUUGCAGUUAUGGAGUUCACAAUUGCAUGUAGAAAUUCACAUGAUCAAUGUAGUCUGGUACAUAAUUGAUAAUUUGGUUGAUGUGACUUGUAUUUACCCACUCGUGUUUAUUUUUCUUUAGUAAGCACUAUGCAUUCUUGUUCGAUUCUGGAGCCUACUACCAACUUGAGGAUUUUUAAUUUUUUUUCUAGAGAAAGAAUUGGGGUAAAAGAUACCAAAUCUGAAUACAAAAUCUAUGCUGUAUUUAUAUAAUGUAACUGAUAAGUAUUUCAUUACAACUAGAAGAUUGGAAAAUCUAUUAAUGAGUAAUUUCUAAAUGUAUUCCUAGAACAAGAGUGUCCUGUUGGAAUUUAAUCCAUCUAAAGGUGAUCUCCUUCAUUGGGAAUGUGAUUUCUAUCAUUUUUCAUGGGCCGAAAUAACUCGACUUAGUGAUAUAUGCUGCAAAUGUUGCUCCACUAGUUACGACACUUGUGGUAUCCAAGUAUCAUCUAUAGAAGGAUGAUCUUUCCAUCGAACAAAGAAUUAAUGACAUAAUGAUCCUCUAAGACAUCUAUAGUGACAUCAUUUGUCCAUGCAGAAAAAUGAAGAAUGAUAACUGGAUCCUUGUAUAUAUGAGGCUUUCCAAGUUUAGGAAAAGUAAGUAGGGUUUAUUUUAUAGAUAUUCUAGUAUUUUAUUUGUUGUUUCUUGCUUAAAUUAGAUUAGUUUAAACCCUUUUAAUAGCUUAUGCAUUGUAAUAGGAGACUUAUAAUAUUGAAUACAAACAUAUUUAUCCAAAUUUCUGCUUCUUCCCCUUCCCCUUCCCCUUCUUCUAUAAUCCUUGUUCUUGUUAGUUUCAUUCUAUGUCAACAACCUUUGAUUGACCAUUAAUUUCAAUGUAGGAAGGAAAUCGUACAAGUGGAAAAUUUUCUUGAAAAACAAUUUAGUCGUACAACAAGCAUUAGUAGUUUUGGAACAUGGAAUUAACAAAACAAAAUCAUGACCCCAUCUUUAGAUCCCCUUAAUAGAGUGAUAUCAAUAAACCCUGAGGGGUGGCUCAGUGGCCAGAUCUUAGAUCUGUUUCUCAAUAGUCACCAGUUCGAGUUUUCUCAAAACCACUGAGGUGAGUAACCAGCUGUAAACUUUAGGGCCCCCUGGGAUUAGUCGAGGUGCGUGUAAGCUGGCCCGAAAACCCAUGAUAAAAAAAAAAAAAAAAAGAGUGAUAUAGGUAAGCCAUCACAAUAGAGGUCCUAACUUGAGUGAAACUAGAAAUUGGUGCAGGAGUGCACUGUGGACACUAAACUUUAUGGCGUCUAGCAUGACAACAAAGAUAGAAUUUUAGAAGCAGAUGGAAGGUACUAGAAGAAGAAGACUUUUGCAUCUACUUGAGUUAAGGUUAUACGUGAUAUAUUCUUGAAGGUUUGAUCCAUUGGCUGAUCCAGGAAGAGUGGAAUGAGAUCCAUUACUGGACCUACCGAAGGAACUUGGACUAGAUUUGUCAAGCAUCAACAGUUGGGCUAGGUACAUCUCUUAUGAUUCAGGGGAAUGUAAUGUAAUCUCACAUUUAAUCUCUACUUUUAGGCCAUUUGUUAAAGGUGGUGGGACAUAAAACUUCAUAUAUGAGAGUAUCUUGUCCAUCGUUUAAAAUUUUAUUUUAUUUGAUUUCAAUUUUAGCCUUCGAAGUGAUAGAGUACUGAACUGGACCCUCAACAUUACAUAGUACCAUUUUGCCAGCAAUGUUGGGCAGGUCUACAAACUUGUUAAACGAGUAAGUUGGGCAUUUUUCAUGCCAUAUUCCUCAAUGUACUCAUGGAAUAUCGAUUCUAGAAUACCUCAUUUGCUUCAAUUCAUCCUUUCACUGCUCUCAAGGGUGUUGAUCAAUCAAGAAAUGCUUUACGGCACAUCAAGUGGAAACGAUCAAAUUUGAAAGAUCAUGGCAAUUAUUGUUUUAAGCCUGCUAAGUGAGAAUAACCAUAUUUAUAUGCACCGUUUCGGGGUGCUUAACCGUGCCAAGCUUUAUUUAUGAAUUUUGAAUUUCAUAUCUAUGCCAGUUUCGCAAGUCAAUUGUUGUUAUAGGAGAGGAUGAACAAAAACUAUUUAUUCGAGUGUCCUUAAUUGGUAACCAUCUGUGUUUUCUUCUGGGGAAUAUGCAGUCUUGUACAACAGGAAGAUGCUUCAUUUGAUUGUACUCAUAUACUUUAUGAAUUUGAGAUAAAUUAUGUUUAACAGUUGCAGAAAUGUGUUAGGACUCCAACCAAGAAAAGAAGUUGCUGUAAAAGAACACAGAAAUAAGUAACUGAACUUUUAAUNGUAUUGAAGAAAUUGACUUCAUAACCGAAGGGUAAUAGACUUAGAUAGGGACUCUCCGCUAUCUCUUCCUUCUCUCAAUUUAUGCCUACCUCCAGACUCUCCUUCUACCUCUAUUUAUGACUUUCUCCUAACUAAUUUUGCCUAACUACUUUCCCCUGCAACAGAAUGCAGUCCCCCUUUCCUGCCAGCUGGUGAGUCAUGCUUCAUUACUCUUCCAGAUUAAGUGAAUCGGAUGGGAGGCUUAUCAAAAUGCAUUACAUUGAAUUAAAUUCAUAUUUUUGCAUAUUUUUUGACACUUCCACCAGCAUCUUUAGCAGUUUAUAGCACUGGCAUGUUACAAAGAAGAGUCACUCUUGACGAUGAUAUCAAUGUUUUGUUCUCAGACUUCAAAGAAUUGCGCUUCCAAAGGCUCACCUGCCAAACCUUCUAAAAGACAGUACUUAUUUAGCCUAUGUUACACUAUGUUUUUUAGAAUCUCUGAGGAUUGGCAGCUUCAAUGGACAAAUUAUCUGAAAUGAUCUAAAAAGAGGUGCCUGAAACCUUGUUGACACUCAAAAACUGUUCGGCCUUGAUAUCAAAGAUUUGACGCAACAACUUAGCAUAUGCAGGUAAUACCUUCCUCGAGAAUUUGUAAAAUUCCACAACUAGUGUUACUUUAUAUUACAUCAGUAAUGAGUGCAAUUAUAUGAUUUUUGGAUUGUUGAGGCAAAGGAUAUAUGUAAGUCCUCGUGCAAAGAAAGAACAGAAGCAAUAAUUCUGCUAUUUAUGUUCCAUCAAAAUUUCUCAACAUGAAAGACGAAUAUCAUUUUAGUCUUACAGAUAUCAAGUUCACAAUUGCAUGUAGAAAUUCACAUGAUCAAUGUAGUCUGGUACAUAAUCGAUAAUUUGGUUGAUGUAACUUGUAUGUGUCCACUUGUAUUUAUCUUCCUUUAGUAAGCACUAUGCUUUCUUGUUUGAUUCUGGAGCCUACUACCAACUUGAGGAUUUUUUAUUUUUUAUUUAUUUUUUCCUUCUAGAGAAAGAAUUGGGGUAAAAGAUACAAAAUCUACGUUGUAUUUAUUUAAUGUAACUGAUAAGUACUUCUUUGCAACUAGAAGAGUUGGAAA
rnacentral:lncRNA from 1 species